AACUGCUUAAGGCUUAAUCCGCAAUAAAUGCAUACUAAACACCCUUGCACUUAAACUUCUGGCUUCAGUUUCACUUCUGCAAAACAUGCUCUGCAGACGCGUUUUGUUUCCUGUCUCAUUUUGGCACAGAGAGUAUUGUCCUGUCUCUGCCCUCUACACAGAGAUCAUAAAAGCAUUAAUAACAUUUAAAUUAUAGAUUCAACAGAACCAUUUAAAAUGGUUCUUCUUUGGACCUGUAAUAAAGGCUAUAACCAUAUAUUUGAACAUCUGAAUGCAUCUAACUGCAACCUCACUAUUAAUACUGAAAUGUUAAUGAUGAUUAUAAAAAUAGCAGCAACUAAUAGCAGGACAAUAUUUCUAUUCCUGACACUCCCACUCUUGACCUCUUGACCACAAGAGGUCACCAUACUGUGUGUUAGGUCACUGCUUGGCCCAUUCAGCUGCUCCCUGUCCAUCCCAGACAUCAUGGACAUUUAGGAUCACUGUUCUUAGCUCUGACCCUCUCUUGGCAUCCUGUGACUUAACAAAUCAGACAACCUCAUGUCAUCUAGGUGGUCUUAGUUAUAAAAUGCCCGCUCCCACUUGAGAACACUCAUGCUUGAGGUUAAUCACACCAAAGUAUCAGCGAGCCUAAAGUUGAUCAGGGCAUGAGAGAAUAAGAGUGCGAGCAGAGCUCAAUCAGCACUCCUCCCUCACCCCAGAACCCACUCAUACCCGGUGAAAGACCCUUACACUUGUGAAUCUCUAGUGGUCUGUCCCUUUUCUGGGUCCCACUCUAGUGGAAAUCUGGCCACCUGCAAAGGAAACAGAACCCUUCCUCCCUAGUACGGCUUCCCUGCCUUAUGUCCCUCAAUUGUCUUCUUUAUUCAAACCUAAUGUUACUCAAAACAUGAACCUAAUUUUGUAUUUGGUUUUGACUUUUAUUCCUAUAUAAUCUUAAACAUCACUCAUCUCAAUCUACAGCUUUCUAACAGUCUUACAGCACUGCUGUCAUACGUUCCUGUUUUUCCUUAUCUGAUCAUCAACAUCCUGUGCACAAAACUGUCCCUGCUGCUGCAAGUGCCUCUCAUCUAAAGUCACCUCUCACCAGCAAAAUCAUCAUAAAAUCAUUAUAAGGGCUUAUUCUACUAAAAGGAUCAAAGAAAAAACAACCACUUUAAUCACUAAGUGUAAGCACCUAGUUAAUUGCUUCUAGAUAAACUUCAUCAUAGCUAAAACUGAACUCUAACAGUAUUUUGAACUCCCAUUUUCUGGGUAAUAACCUGUUUGAAUAUAUCAUUUUAUUUCAUUUUGCUGCUUCUAAUGUAAUGCCUCCCUCUAACUUAAACUUUAUCAGACUUAACCAACAUAUAUAAGCUUUCUCCCUUUGCUUCUGUUUUCUGUAUUUCUGUAUUCUGUAACUGCUUUUUAUAUAAGAGGACUAAGUUAGAGCUGCAUCUGUUAUCUCAAUAUUUUAUAUGUCACUCAGUUUAGUUACAAGCAAAACUCCUAUUCAGUUCCUCUUUCUGUCAUUUGUUAUUGGGCCAACUCAAAUUCAGUUAAAAGCUAAAGGAAUUUCAGGCCCUAGGCCUCAAAUCAAUACUGUCCUGUGUGUUGAUGAACUCUGUAUGUCUGUAAGCGUGUGCAAUCCUUCAAAACUCAGGUCAUUCUCACAGUAGAUUGGCUAAUCAUAACGUUAACCAAAAGUUUAUGACCCUCAAGAGACGACUCUCUGAGCCACAACUCCGUUAAAGGCCCCAAAAUGCAAUGUGUAUGAAAAAUCAUUUCUACAUAUAUAAUCUCCAAUAUUAUUCAUUUGAGUCAGCGAGACUUUUAACAUCCUCAUAAAAAGCUCUCCACUACCCUAAAAAUAACAACAUUCUAACAUUAUGUCACUGUUACCACUUAUCCUAAAAAUCAAAAGAAAAAUCCCACAUUUUCUACUCAUAAAAUGUUCACUAUUUUCCCAAAAGCAUAUCCUUUAUUCCCACAAUUCCCCUUUAAUUUGGUGUACAACUUCUUUUUAACCCCAGCAAUUUAUCUUCUAAACAGAAUUCAGUUCAUUUUACUCCUUUCUUUAGAAUUAACAAUCUCUGCCUCAGUUUUACCAUAUCUAAAUUAUCAAACAACCCCAAUCGUUAUAAAAUCCUAGUAAAACCCCUUUCACAUUAAACAAAUUAAAUCUUAAACCCCUCUCUUUUUUGACACAUCUCAUGUGGCAAAAAACUCAACAUGCUCCACCCAAGCUUAACAAAUCAAAAGGAAAAAAGGUUAGUCAUUUCAUUUCUCAGAACAGCUCAGCAAUUGUCCUCUCCGGUGUUUUGCUCCAGCCCUGAAAACCUGUGUUUAAGGAACAAAAUCAAUUUAAUCAUCAUGUCAAAUCUCCUCCAACUCGUUGCUCCAUUGAACUCUGGAUCCUUGGAAUUUCCUGAAAACAAAACCUUUACUCAACUCUCCCCCUAUGUGAUCCAAUCUGUGUCAUGACACAAAAUAAACUUAAACAGCACAGUUAUUAAUCAUGUGUUACCUCAGUUAAUGGUAACUUGAGUUACAUCAAUGUUUCCCUUUUAGCAUUUUAUAAUGUAUUAAUAUGGUCUAACCCAAAUCAACAAAGCAGAAAUUCACUCAAAGGAACAUCAGCAUCCCCAGAUUUAAGUCUUCCACUUCUCCUGUUUGUCAACCUUUUAUUUAUUUCCCCCCUUGGUCCAACCACUCACAUUCACUCCCAUGCAUUCACACAUGAUAUUUUUUGCUGAUCUGCAGCCUUCCGCGCACGUCAUCAGAUGCUCCACAUCAGCAAAAUCAGUUCAAUCAUUUGUUUUAUUUCGUUUUCCUUUUUAGGAAAAUAGUUCUCUAUACUUUUGACUGGAUUGAAUCGAUCAAUCCAUUUUUAGACAGAGACUCGCCGCCGAUCAGUCUCUGAUUGUAAUCAAUUAUAAUCCGUACUGCCCACCUGAUUUUCGUACUUGGUAACUUUGUCAGCGCCGUCCGUUCACUCUCUUCCAGGCCUGCUUAGAACAAAAAUGAAAAAAGAGAGCUGAUUAUUAGCUCAUCAAAGUACCAAACAAAAUCACCUGACAGGUUUUUUCCUGAGUGCACUUACUACUACAAAAAAUUUUUGGGGCCCCUCUCAGACCUAUCCCUGCCUUAAUGAAACACCCUCUCUGGAAAUAAAACAACAGCCUCAAAAAUCUGAAACAAUCUUAAAUUUCACCCGUUCAACACACCGAAAACCUCGUCAAAAGAUCAAAGACCGUUUUCAUUCAGCACAAGAUAAAAACCAAUUUCAACCACAUAUCAUCCUUAAAUUAUAAAUUUCCUGUCCAAAUCUGCCCCUCUGAACAGACCUGACCACCGUAAUCAAAUAUCCUGAUACUUUACCAUUAUAUAUUUCUCCCAAUACUCUUCAACAGCCACUGCUCUCUCUUGAACUGAACCGAAAGCCUCCGCCACACACGCACACAGGAAGUGUCUUUGUCACUCACUCACUCCAGCUAAUUUGCAUAAACCCACAGCUCAACAGCCAACUUAACAAGAGGAAUACAUGUUUUUAAACCUUAUCACAUCAUUGAAUUAUUUUCAUUUUCUUUCUAUACUAAUCACUUACUUUGAUAAAUCAGUGCAAGAGCACUCCUGAGUCACUCUUAUAGACACUUUUCUUUUGUUUUUUCCAUCUAUUUUAAAUCUUUCCAUCAAUUGUAUUAACCAUUCACACCAUUUUAACCCUCAUGAAAUUAGCAGGCUGAUUUAAUUACGUAUGUUUGUGUUCUUAGCCAGGUUUUAAGUCAUUAUCUGUUCAUUAAUCUUCAUGAGCUUGUCUCUGUAAGGUUAGUGCAUUUUCUGUUUGUAUGUGUGAUUCUUAUAAAUGUUUCUUUAUGAUCUUUGUGAUCUUGUAAAUGUUUCUUUUCCAGUGUUCCAAACUCCUUUUGACAGGGUGUGUUUUCUCUCUUUGGCUCAUCACUGGUCAUUGUGAAUGACAUUUCCCCUUCGUCUGUGCCCAGUGGCCUUACCUGUUAAAUCCGUCUCCUCCAGUGACUCCAAGGUCACUCCGGGACUUAGGUUCGAGCAAUCGUGACUGCGCCUUGCCUUAGGUUGUCCCAGGGUUUCGAGGUGGGAUCUUACCCGUCAUGGGCUGUCCAGCCUUCCAUGCCCGCCUACUACAGGAGCCAACUGGGCAAGAGUGUUAUCAGGCCUAGGGGACACACUGGUUCUGGAAAUUAAAGGAGUGUAAACUGCUUUCUUUAUUAAACUUUCCAACAAUAAUUUCACAUGUAACAGUUUGUGUACGUGCAUUUUCAAUUCAUUAAUGUAAUUGUUAGUUCCUGUAUUUAUUUCUCUCAGUCUGUCUCUUUUCUAAAACCUGUAAUUAAUAUAAUUUUAUUACUUUAUUACUUUUUCUUAAAACAUGCAUUCGCUUCAUCUUCUUAGAGUUUAACUCAUCUGUCUAUUUCUCUGGGUGCUCCCCUGACAUCAUCAGUCACACACACACCUUCCUCUCACACACACUUUUAAAUAGAGCUCUUCCAAACAUCAGGACAACUAACACUUCUCCACGGACAGGACCAUUCUUUAGGUCAGUUUUAUAGCAUCAGUCACCCAAUAAUCUCUUAACUGGGCUUCCCAAGUACAUAUACUUAUGUAUUUUCAAUCGGAAAAAAUACACUCAACCUGUCAUAACAUCUCUCAUGGAUUUCUUGAAUUAAAAGCACUUUCAAACUUUAAAACAUCCUACUUUUCCUCACACAAGAAAUAUAUUUCAUACCCCUUUCUUUCAUACACACUUUUAAAGGUUCUAACCUCUUUAGUCAUUCAGUAAUCGUCUCACACACACUGCCUUUUCUCUCUCAAACUGCCAUUUUCCACUCACUCAGACAAAUCAUGCAGAGUCACUCAAAUCAAAUACUGACAGCAUUCACACAGUUAAAAUCACACAAAAUACGCUUUCAUACGAGUAUUUUGGACAUGCCUUCCAUGAUCAGAAAGAGCAAGUCAAAAGAAAAGAAAAAGAAAACUGAAACCUCUCAUCAUCCUCGCAGCUUCUCCCCACACACACAUAACUGAAAAAAUAAAACACACCAACAUUUAUGGCUCACGAAAUAUACAUCUAUCAAAAUUCAGUCAUUUACUAUGCAUCCACACUAAUAUAUUCACACUGUAUUUACACUCUCAUAAUAAGCUCUUAUAUACAGGCAUUUAGCAAAAGCUCUCAGUCCUCUCAAAAUUGAAACCACCCUCUCUCUGCGUCACUGCUGCUCAUUUGCAUUUACACACACAAUCAGUGCACUUCCGGCUGUGCAUGACUGACACAGAGACUGAUCCUACUCAUAGAUCUCAUAUUUUAUAUUACAGACGUCUUAAAUUACAACUGCACAGAUUUUUUUUAGGCCUUGUCGCUCCUACAAAUUUCGAAAAUUUACCAUAACCGACUCGAACGGGCAAACCUCAGGUUUUUGCAAUCAAUUCACCAGACCAGACUCGAACUGCUCUGUCCAG
ensembl:lncRNA